rnacentral:rRNA from 1 species
UACGGGGGGGGGCAAGCGUUGUUCGGAAUUACUGGGCGUAAAGGGCUCGUAGGCGGCCAACUAAGUCAGACGUGAAAUCCCUCGGCUUAACCGGGGAACUGCGUCUGAUACUGGAUGGCUUGAGUUUGGGAGAGGGAUGCGGAAUUCCAGGUGUAGCGGUGAAAUGCGUAGAUAUCUGGAGGAACACCGGUGGCGAAGGCGGCAUCCUGGACCAACACUGACGCUGAGUGAGCGAAAGCGUGGGGAGCGAACAGG